rnacentral:rRNA from 1 species
GAUUAGAGUUUGAUCCUGGCUCAGAUUGAACGCUGGCGGCAUGCCUUACACAUGCAAGUCGAACGGCAGCAUGGAGGAGCUUGCUCCUCUGAUGGCGAGUGGCGAACGGGUGAGUAAAGCAUCGGAACGUACCGUGUAGUGGGGGAUAACGUAGCGAAAGUUACGCUAAUACCGCAUACGCACUGAGGUGGAAAGCAGGGGAUCGCAAGACCUUGCGCUAUACGAGCGGCCGAUGUCAGAUUAGCUAGUUGGUAGGGUAAAGGCCUACCAAGGCGACGAUCUGUAGCGGGGCUGAGAGGAUGAUCCGCCACACUGGGACUGAGACACGGCCCAGACUCCUACGGGAGGCAGCAGUGGGGAAUUUUGGACAAUGGGCGAAAGCCUGAUCAAGCCAUGCCGCGUGAGUGAAGAAGGCCUUCGGGUUGUAAAGCUCUUUCGGCUGGGAAGAAAUCGCACAGGCUAAUACUCUGUGUGGAUGACGGUACCAGCACAAGAG